AAUGCUUGAGAGGGACUCUUCAUUAGGGACUGUAGUGACAGGACAAGGGGUAACAGGUUUAAACUUAAACAGGGGAAUUCAGGUUAGAUAUAAGGAAGUUCUUUCCUGUAAGGGUGGUGAGGCACUGGAAUGGGUUGCCCA